CUUGGUAACGGUGGUGCGCAACGAGGGUGAGAAAAAAAACGGUGUCGCGAGAACGUGAAUUCGGGUCGAACCUGGUGGACACGUGGGUCAUGCGUCCGUCUCGCGUCGCGACUGCACGCGUCAUUGCACGGCCACGCGGCGUCGCGGUGCUUUCGUUUCUGGUGUUCCGCGAAAUUACGCAAUGACGAGACGUCACGAUGCGUAACACUGCGUACGAGGAUCCUUGUGGCUCCGUUCGCUCGAGGGUUUGCUCAGCUGUUGCUCGUGGAUGAACAGUACGUUCGUUUCGGUGAACGAGUUCCGCGCUUUAGGUUCAAGCCAAUGAUUCCCGAAACGAGAUGGGACGUUCGGUCUGACGACGACGGUCCUUUGUGUUCAAGGUUACCAGAAUGAGAUUUCUCCGGAGACGAUUUCAUAUUACUCCGCUACGAGCGUUGGCGGCGUUCUUCCUCAUGGUAGUGCUGUUCUGGUACAGCCUCAGUCGGCAAGAGGCGCCUACGCAACCCUGCAGCGUCCCCGAAGAAUUUACAGAGAAACUGCACGAGCUUGCCUACAGAGCUCACCUGGUGUUGGCCAAAUUGGGUAUCGUGCACUUUCUGUGCCUCGGUGGACUUUGGGGUCAAGUUCGGAUCGGUCGUGCGCUGCCCUGGGCGCGUAAGAUCGAACUCUGUCUAGUGGACACGCUACGCGACGAUGUCCUGAUCACGAAAGCGUUUCGCGAAGUUGGCCUAAGUGCCACGUACUUACACGCCGCCGGGGUGUACCGUAUACAGGAGCACGAGGUCGGUGAAGAUGCGCCCAAGGUGGAGGUAGUCGUUUUCGAGGAAGAUGCUGUGACGCAAAUGGUGAGGAGAGUGGGUUGGACAAGAAGAGUACUGCCUCCGGAUUGCGAGUUCUCCCCUAGUUUGCAAUGCUUCCCACCGCAAUUGGUGAUUCCUCCGUUACCAGCGAAACAAUUUGGCGGUCGAUUAAUGCCUGUACCCAGAGAGGGUAUCGAACUGCAGAAGUAUCACUACCCUAACGACUGGUGGCUCGAGGUGAAGCCCACCGAUUGCACCGAGCCUCAAGAACUCGGCGCGUAGUACUCGGUUUCGAUGCAGCGAGGAUUCGCGAUAGAAAAUUAAUCAUAACCCGUUGACAGGAUGUGGUAGGGAGAGGUGCCGAAAAGACGGUUAACUAACUACUUAAAUGAAGAAUAAUAUUUAAUGAAAGUAUAAUAGGUGAUCCGACGGCUUUAAUGCGUGCUAUUUCUUCGAUUCCACCUUAGCAACUGACCCGUCGUGGACGAGCAGGACGAUCGUCCACUGUCCUCCUCACGCACACACACAGCAUACGUGCUCCCGCACGCAUUUACUUUGUAACAUUCCCUCAUGUAUUUGAACAUCAUUUAUAUUUUCAAGUGUUUCAAAAAUGCGAAAGAAGGUCUAGUAAAUACUAACGGAGUACUUAUCUACCUUUUCUUAUAAAUAUAAAUGAUAAUUAAACAUAUGAUUAAGAAUUGUUAACUGUUUUUAAAUCACUAACUUUGUUUUAUUUUUCAUUCGUGUGACUGGAAAUAAUACUCGGCGUAACUCAGAGUUCUGAACUUCAAUGAAUUCGACUUGACAUUUGAUAAAAAACAUUAAUAAUACGACGUCUGUGUGAAUGAAUAAUACAAAUUUCCGAUACUCGAUUUACUACACUUCCAUACGUUGUUAACUAGCGUUGCAUUUAUUAUUUUGGUCAUUUCAUUUCGAAAUACAAGCACCACUCGUCAUAUUUUAUAUGAAUGCACACAUUUGUAUGGAAUGUAUUUCUUAAAUA